rnacentral:rRNA from 1 species
UACGUAGGGGGCAAGCGUUGUCCGGAAUCAUUGGGCGUAAAGCGCGUGUAGGCGGCCCGGUAAGUCCGCUGUGAAAGUCCAGGGCUCAACCCUGGGAUGCCGGUGGAUACUGUCGGGCUCGAGUCCGGAAGAGGAGUGUGGAAUUCCUGGUGUAGCGGUGAAAUGCGCAGAUAUCAGGAGGAACACCAAUGGCGAAGGCAGCUCACUACACGAAUAUUGACACUGAGGCACGAAAGCGUGGGGAUCAAACAGG